UACGUAGGUGGCAAGCGUUAUCCGGAUUUACUGGGUGUAAAGGGCGUGUAGGCGGUUUUGUAAGUCAGAUGUGAUAUCUCCGGGCUUAACUCGGAAACUGCAUCUGAAGCUAUAAAACUUGAGUACUGGAGAGGAUAGUGGAAUUCCUAGUGUAGCGGUAAAAUGCGUAGAUAUUAGGAGGAACACCAGUGGCGAAGGCGACUAUCUGGACAGUAACCGACGCUGAGGCGCGAAAGCGUGGGGAGCAAACAGGAUUAGAUACCCUGGUAGU
rnacentral:rRNA from 1 species